rnacentral:lncRNA from 1 species
UGAAUCACCUUUUCUUCCAUACCAACUCAUUGAAUUCCAUAGGAAAUCAUUAAUGUUUGCCAUGUAAUAGUUAAGGGACGCCAAGAGUUGGCAUCCCAUUGUGUUGCCCUUUGUUUCCUAUUUAAAGGGGGCACUACAACCUAUUUUGACGUGCCAAAAAUGGGCUGAAAGUGGGCAUAGAAAUGAGAGGAAAAAGUGAAAAAAAUCUGGGGAAAAGAUAAGGAA